GGCCUACCAUGGUGGUAACGGGUAACGGGGUGUUAGGGCACGACACCGGAGAGGGAGCCUGAGAAACGGCUACCACAUCCAAGGAUGGCAGCAGGCGCGCAAAUUACCCAAUCCCGAUACGGGGAGGUAGUGACAAUAAAUAACAAUACGGGGCUCUUUAGGGUCUCGUAAUUGGAAUGAGUACAAUUUAAAUCUCUUAACGAGGAACAAUUGGAGGGCAAGUCUGGUGCCAGCAGCCGCGGUAAUUCCAGCUCCAAUAGCGUAUAUUAAAGUUGUUGCAGUUAAAAAGCUCGUAGUUGAAUUUCGGGGUCAGCAGGUUGGUCGUGCCACUGGUAUGCACUGGUUUCGCUGAUUCCUCCUUUCUGAAGAACUGUAAUGCCAUUAAUUUGGUGUUGCAGGGAAACAGGACUGUUACUUUGAAAAAAUUAGAGUGUUUAAAGCAGGCUAACGCUUGAAUACAUUAGCAUGGAAUAAUGAAAUAGGACGUUUGAUCCUAUUUUGUUGGUUUCUAGGAUUGACGUAAUGAUUAAUAGGGAUAGUUGGGGGCAUUAGUAUUCAAUUGUCAGAGGUGAAAUUCUUGGAUUUAUUGAAGACUAACUACUGCGAAAGCAUUUGCCAAGGAUGUUUUCAUUAAUCAAGAACGAAAGUUAGGGGAUCGAAGACGAUCAGAUACCGUCGUAGUCUUAACCAUAAACUAUGCCGACUAGGGAUCGGAUGAUGUUAAUUUUUUUAAUGACUCAUUCGGCGCCUUACG
rnacentral:rRNA from 1 species